AACGUACGCUGGACGGCACGCAUUACACAUGCGAAGUCGAGACGCAUGUAGCUAAUACUUAGCUGGCAGACGGGUGAGUAACAUGUAGGUAUCGUGCCCUAUUGGCUCUGGAAUAACACGAGGAAACUUGUGCUUAUACCGGAUAAGUCUUUACGGAGAAAGCUUUAUGCACCAUUGGAUGAGCCUGCACUCGAUUAGUUUGUUGGUGGGGUAAUGGCUUACCAAGGCUGUGAUCAAUAGCUGAUUUGAGAGGAUGAUCAGCCACAUUGGGACUGAGACACGGCCCAAACUCCUACGGGAGGCAGCAGUGGGGAAUCUUGCACAAUGGAGGAAACUCCUGAUGCCAGCGAUGCCGCGUGAGUGAAGAAGGCCCUUGGGUUGUAAAGCUCUUUCGUCGGGGAAGAAAAUGACUGUACCCUGCAUAAAGAAGGUCCGGCUAACUUCGUGCCAGCAGCCGCGGUAAUACGAAGGGGCCUAGCGUAGUUCGGAAUUACUGGGCUUAAAGAGCUCGUAGGCGGUUGAAAAAGUUAGUGGUGAAAUCCCCGAGCUCAACUCGGGAACUGCCAUUAAAACUUUUCAUCUAGAGUAUGAUAGAGGAAAGCAGAAUUUCCAGUGUAGAGGUGAAAUUCGUAGAUAUUAGAAAGAAUACCAGUGGCGAAGGCAGCUUUCUGGCUCAUUACUGACGCUG
rnacentral:rRNA from 1 species